rnacentral:lncRNA from 1 species
CACUCUACCACCCAGAACUCACAGGGAGCAUGGCCAGGGGGGGAAUGCGUAACUUCAGACUCCAUUUCCUCCUCUAGUGGCCACACCCAGGAUAUGGGAACCCUCCCUCUGAAUGGGUUGUGGGUGUGUGGGCCACACAGAGGGGCUUCUUCCAGAGGGACUCAUGGAGGGUCUUUGAGAUGACUGCUUGAAUUAGGGGAGUAUUUCUGCAUCAACUUGGAGGUAAGAUCAGUAGGAAUAUGGCCACCCAAAUCCCAAGAAGAUGCACCCCUCCACCUACAUCUGUCAUUUCCUGAAAACUGGGAGGAAUCAGACUUAACGUGGCAAGAGCUGUCAGUGUCCUCCUGGCCCUGCAUUUCCCAGAAUUCUUCAGGUGAAAACAUUCUGAAGGCCACAUUCCAUAUUACAGAAUAGCAUACCUAUGGCUUCAUCUCAUUAGAUAUGAGUUGCUUUCAGAAUCAGACUCCACUAUGUUCUAAUAUUGAGGGUACCAGGCAGAGCCAUUUAUGGGGGGAAAACUUACAUUGUGAAAAUACUGUACAUUAGUGAAUAUUGUUAUUAUUGUAUAAGGGUCUAGGGAAAGACCUUUGAUUUUAGCUGUAGAAUGUUUUUAGCUGUAGAAUGCAUUGAUCUAACUUUCUAUUCAGUCGGGGAAGAAAGCUUAAAAAUUGUUAAAGUAGUUCAACCCCCUUGUUAAAGGAAACUGACACUUAGAGGAGGGUAUGACUUACCCAUGAUCAAAUAACUAUUUUUAAGUUGCUCCAGGAGCUGAGGCUGAGGCAGAAGGAUCACAAGUUCAAAGCCAGCCUCAGCAACUUAGUGAGCCCCUGAGCAACUUAAAGAGAUCCUAUCUCAAAAUAAAACAUAAAAGGGGUUGGGGAUGUGGUUAGCACUCUUGGGUUCAAUCCCUGGUACAAAAGAAAAAAACUAAACAAACAAGCAAAUAAGUCACUCCAGGGCUGGACAAGAAUUUGGACUUAUAGUCCAGUGCCCUUUUCAAUAUAAAACACUUAAGCUCAGACCCUAUUUUCCGUUUCCCUGAUGACUGACCCAAAUUUAAACAGAGCAUGUCUAGAUCUGGAACCCCUUCCUUUUUUUCCCUGGGUUGUAGCCCCACUGACCCAUCAGAAGAAGGAGGGGGAAGGACAUUCAGCCUGUGUCUCAAUGUGAAUCAACCCCUCCCCUCUGGUGGCCCUGGCCUUUGGUCUCUGCCUCAGCCCAAUAUAAUGCUGUUGUUGCCUUAUCAAUAAAGUACCUUGAUCUUUGUAAUGUCUGCACUUCCCUAGCUCUCCCUCUGACCCUGCCCUCUCUUGGGAACUCAAGGGGACCCCCUGGGAACAACAGUUAUUCAGUCCAGGGGCAAAUAACCAGGACUCCAAAAGGGAAGUCUAGGAGCUGGGAGGAAAAGAAAAAAGAAACAAGUGAAGAUUUAGGGAUCUGAAUUGGGAGAAAACUGUAUUGUCUAGUGUGUUAGAAUGAAAGUGUGAAGGUGGACAUGUAUAAAGCGAAAACUUUUAAAGUAUAUAUUAGAAGUGAAGGAAAGCACACACCAAAGUGGAAAAUAAACAAGAUUCCAGGCAUAGGGAGAUCCUUCUGCUGGCUAACCGGAAGCAAGUAGGGGGAAUCCAAGUGAGGCCAACAGAAGAGGUUGGAAUGUAUGACAAAUUUGGUGAAAGUCAGACAUUAAGCAGCAGAAGAAAGCUUUAAAGGGUGCCUCCCAACUGAUUUCCAAAUAGAAAAAAAAAAAAAAGUUUGCCAGAAAUUGUCAAGUAAACCAAUGGGGGAAAAAAA